AUACGGAGGAUCCGAGCGUUAUCCGGAUUUAUUGGGUUUAAAGGGAGCGUAGGCGGACGCUUAAGUCAGUUGUGAAAGUUUGCGGCUCAACCGUAAAAUUGCAGUUGAUACUGGGUGUCUUGAGUACAGUAGAGGCAGGCGGAAUUCGUGGUGUAGCGGUGAAAUGCUUAGAUAUCACGAAGAACUCCGAUUGCGAAGGCAGCCUGCUGGACUGUAACUGACGCUGAUGCUCGAAAGUGUGGGUAUCAAACAGGAUUAGAUACCCUGGUAGUCCACACAGUAAACGAUGAAUACUCGCUGUUUGCGAUAUACAGCAAGCGGCCAAGCGAAAGCAUUAAGUAUUCCACCUGGGGAGUACGCCGGCAACGGUGAAACUCAAAUGAAUUGACGGGG
rnacentral:rRNA from 1 species